UUAAUACUCCCUCCGUUCGAAAAAGCUUGUCCCAACCUUGUCUUUCAAAUGGAUGUAUCUAACACUAACUUGGUGCUAGAUUCAUCCAUUUAAGAGACAAGCUUUUUCGGACGGAGGGAGUACUAU
rfam:Triticum urartu cultivar G1812 contig905789, whole genome shotgun sequence.